rnacentral:rRNA from 1 species
UACGGAGGGUGCAAGCAUUGAUCGGAAUUACUGGGCGUAAAGGGCGCGUAGGCGGCUUUGAAAGUCAGAUGUGAAAUUCCGGGGCUCAACCCCGGAGCUGCAUUUGAAACUUCAAGACUAGAGUGUAAUUAGGGAAAACGGAAUUCCACGUGUAGCGGUGAAAUGCGUAGAUAUGUGGAAGAACACCGGUGGUGAAGACGGUUUUCUGGGUUAUAACUGACGCUGAGGCGCGAGAGCUAGGGGAGCAAACAGG